AUGAUUUUUUUAAUAUUAAAAUAUUGAAGUACAGAAUCCAAAUAUAUUUGUGAGUCCGGUGUUGCUAGAAGGUGUCGUGGCAAUUGGGAAGCGCUUCUGUAAUGGCGGCCGCCGGAAAAUGCUUUCUCGUCACCGGGUCUCCGGGAGUGGGGAAAACUACUUUGAUAAUCCGAGUUCUGGAUGCCCUCAAACAAUUCAUUCCCAGCUUAAAAAUUCAGGGUUUUUAUACUCGUGAGGUAAGAGAAGGGUGUGAUAGGGUAGGAUUUGAAGUGGUUACUGUUGAUGGCCGCAGAGGUCCUCUUGCAUCCACCAUUAUCACUAGCCGUGAAUCUCACAAAUGGCCUAACGUGGGGAGGUACAAAGUAGAUGUCUCGUCUUUUGAGUCAUUAGCAUUGCCUGAGUUGGAGGUUAAAGAAGACACUGAUCUGUUCAUUAUUGAUGAAGUUGGUAAAAUGGAGCUGUUCAGCGCAUCAUUCUUCCCUGCUGUCUUAAGAGUUCUAGAAUCCAAUAUCCCUCUGUUGGCGACUGUCCCUGUCCCAAAAUCUGGCAGAGAUAUUCCUGGAGUUGCAAGGUUGAAAAAUCAUCCAGGAGCAACCAUUUAUACGCUGAAUACAAGCAACCGAGAUGCCAUGAAAGAACAAAUAUACUCCAACUUGGUAGACUUGUUGCAAAACCACUAGCUUCUGUCAAAAGCCUGAGCUUCCUACUCUGUGACUCAUGCAACUGACUUCCUCUCGAACCUGUAGAAGAUCAGUGCGGAAUGAAAGUGAGUUUUGCCCACUUGUUGUGCAUCUACUUUUCAAGGAUUAAAGUGAGUCCAUAUCAAAUUUGUUCCUUUGCUACAGGCCCCUGACGUUUGAAAAUAUCGCCAUAAGUCUCUGGCGUUUAACAUAAUCACAUAUCAUGUUUUUUCGGACUAAAAGACCCUUCAGCCCUAAAAGGGCAUUAUGGGCAUAUCACACGAACUUCUGCAGUGGUGGCCUGCAUGCUGCUGACGCGAUUUGAUGGCUGGCGCUAUUUGACAGCUGACGUGAUUUGGUGGCUGUGUGUCAGCGGCCUCCAUUUGUGAUUUAACAAAUACAUACCAUACUCCAUUUGUGAUUUUACUAAGUGCUUUGUAUUCUUCCCAUAUAUAUAGUUUUGUUUUUUUCUUU